UACGGGGGGGGCAAGCGUUGUUGCGGAAUUACUGGGCGUAAAGGGCUCGUAGGCGGCCAACUAAGUCAGACGUGAAAUCCCCAGGCUUAACCUGGGAACUGCGUCUGAUACUGGAUGGCUUGAGAUUGGGAGAGGGAUGCGGAAUUCCAGGUGUAGCGAUGAAAUGCGUAGAUAUCUGGAGGAACACCGGUGGCGAAGGCGACAUCCUGGACCAACACUGACGCUGAGGAGCGAAAGCCAGGGGAGCAAAGCGGG
rnacentral:rRNA from 1 species